UUUCAAGAAUCAAUUCUUUUCUUUCUUCCCCGCUACUCCCAAACCCUAACCCUAGCGCUGCAAAUCCCUUCGAAUUCUUCUCCGAUUCGCCCUACGCCGGCCAUGGGAAGCGAAGAGACUCGAUCUCCUCACUCUCGUAGCAGGUGCCGCAGCCCAGAGGACGGAGCCGAGGGGGAAUCGAAGCGCCGGAAGCAUCGUCACCACCGCCACCGUCAUCGCCACCAUCGAAGUGGGCAUGGACGCGAGAGGCAUGAAGGUGAGGCCCUUGAUCUUGAGGCGGAGGCAGGUGCAGUCUCCGUGGGAGCUGAGAGGAUUGAUGAGUAUGAGAGGGAAGAGGGCGAGAUUCUUGAAGAGGAGGAUGGUGUUGAACCGGAGAGAAGGGAUUUGGUGCAUGGAGAUGAAGGGGUUGAGAAGGAAAGCAGGCGUGGAGAUGUUGAUGAGAAUGAUUCGAGUGGAUCCCGAUCGAGAUCUUGGGGUUCUGGGGAGAAUUUGCAUCGAAAGAAACGGAAAGGCGAGCAUGGUGAUGAGGCUUUGCCUGCAAAGUUGGGAAAACUCUUGCUGAGCAGAGGCUCUGAUUCGCAGGAUGCUGGAAGGAAGAGUUCGGAUAGAGAUGACAAGCCUGGUACAUCGAGGGAUCGUCACAGGGAUCGAUCAAGGUCCCAAGAAAGGGAAAGAAGGAAAGAUUCUGAGCGAGAGAAUGGUCGGGCAGUUGAUAAAAUUCGUUCAAAUGAAAGGAAAGAUGACAGAGAAAGAGAGAGUAGCAUUCAUAGCAGGCAUGAAGAAAGAGGGGAUAGUCGUGAUGUCCGUGAGAGAGAUAGAGAACGAGACCGGAACCACCGGAGGAGCUCCUGGGACAGAGAUAGUGUUGAGGUAGGAAAACGUAGCCGCGGAGAAAGAGAAAGAAGCAUUAGUCAUAGUAGGCAUGAUAUAGGGGGAGAUAGGCAUGAUAGUCAAGAUAGAGAGUAUGAGCGAGAGCAAAGGAAACAUAGUCGUAGUUCUUUGGAUAGAGAUGGGGAGCGACGGAGAGCUAUGAGUAGGGAGAGAUACAGGGAAAGGGAGAGUGUGAGGGAGAGGGAGAAUGUGAGGGAGAGGGACAGAGAUGGCAGUGAUAGAGAUAAGAAGCAGCUUAGGGAUAGAGAAACACUUAGAUAUGAUGACAGGGAACGAGGGUGGCAUGCCAGUCGGGACAGGCAGAGGGAUUCUAGGAACUCAAGAUAUGAUGAACUCGAAUCCCGCAAUGAGAGAACAAAGCCUAAGGAGCUCGUGCGGGAAGUAAGUUCUGCUACACGCCCAACUGAGGAACUAAAGGGUAAACCUGUGAGGGAGGAAGAAGAAGAAGAUUAUGAGGAAAAAAUUGAGCAACAACUUGCGCAACAGGAUGAAGAUGACGUUGAGAAAAUUAAGGAGGAAAGCAGAAAAAGAAGGUUGGCUAUCCUUGAAAAGUAUAAUAAACAGAAACAAUUGGCGCAACAUACUGAAGCUGGACCUAAUAAUCAUGAGAAAGAGGAGAAGCAAUCUACUCCAUCUCCUGACAAGGAGAAAAUGCAUGAUCCGAAUGAUAAUGCUGCUGCUGCUGGACAGGCCCCAACUCAAGGUCUAGAGAAUAGGCAUGAUCCUUCAGAUUUAUAUAUUGCUGAGCCCUCAUUUGCUCUAGGUAAAUCACCUGUGCAAAAUGGAAAGAGUACUGUUGAUAAUUCUGCCGUUGCUCAUGGACUUGGUGAGGGCACUCCAAAGAGUGAAAGAUCAGAAGACAUGUUUUGUGACGACAUCUUUGGAGAAUCUCCCACUGGUGUUCGUAAAUCGGGCAAGGUAGAUGGUAUACAGAUUGAAGGAAGUGGUCUUCUUGAUAACUGGGACGAUGCAGAAGGUUACUAUAGUUACAGGUUUGGGGAAGUGCUAGAUGGGCGUUAUGAAGUUAUAGCAUCUCAUGGGAAAGGUGUAUUUUCUACUGUUGUUCGUGCAAAAGAUCUAAAAGCAGGCAAAGGAGAUCCUGAAGAGGUUGCCAUAAAAAUCAUUCGCAACAAUGAAACCAUGUAUAAGGCAGGUUUAGAAGAAUUGACCAUACUGAAAAAGCUAGCAGGCGCAGAUCCUGAUGACAGACGCCAUUGUGUUAGGUUUAUUUCAAAUUUCAAGUAUCGAAAUCAUCUUUGUUUAGUUUUUGAAUCUCUUCAUAUGAACCUUCGGGAGGUUCUAAAGAAAUUUGGUCGUAAUAUUGGACUGAAACUGACUGCUGUGAGGGCAUAUGCAAAGCAGCUUUUUAUUGCGUUGAAGCAUCUCAGGAAUUGUGGAGUUUUACAUUGUGAUAUAAAGCCUGAUAAUAUGCUGGUAAAUGAGGCUAAGAACGUGCUAAAGCUUUGUGAUUUUGGCAAUGCUAUGUUUGCUGGCAAAAAUGAGAUUACACCUUACCUGGUUAGCCGCUUCUACCGUGCUCCAGAAAUAAUUCUUGGAUUGUCAUAUGAUCAUCCCAUGGACAUUUGGUCAGUUGGCUGCUGUUUGUAUGAACUAUACUCUGGAAAAGUUCUCUUCCCUGGCCCAUCUAACAAUGACAUGCUUCGGCUUCAUAUGGAAUUGAAGGGGCCUUUCCCAAAAAAGAUGCUCCGAAAGGGUGCAUUCACUGAGCAGCAUUUUGAUCAGGACCUGAAUUUUCAUGCAACAGAGGAGGAUCCUGUUUCCAAGAAGAUUAUAAAGAGGCUUCUCCUAAACAUCAAACUGAAGGAUAUUGGCGUGCUCAUUUCAGGGUCCCCUGGUGAGGAUCCUAAAAUGUUGGCCAAUUUCAAAGAUCUUCUAGAAAGGAUAUUUGUGUUGGACCCAGAGAAGAGGAUGACCGUAUCUCAAGCUUUGAGUCAUCCAUUCAUCACGGGCAAGUGAAAUAAGAUGCUGAUUUCUGAAUGCAGAAAUAAGAUGUUGAUCUAUGCCUCAUCAUUGUGGUCUAAUUUGUUUAUAGUCAUCUAAUCAUUCCAUCUUUGUCUGUCUUAUCCCUGCAUUGAUGGCCGAUAAACAUUGGUCUCGGAGUAUGUCGCACAGAUGAAAGCUUGGAAGGCGUAAAUUUCAAGAUCAUACUUCUGGCUGUUCUUAACAGUGGGAUGGGUUCUGUUUCUUGUAAGACAACUUGCCAAAGGCGUUUCUAAUCUCUUGGUUUCUGCCAGGAUAUGUGGCUGUUCAUUUGAUGCUUUAAAUGGCUAGAAGGAAGCCAAGAGAAGCUUGGGAAGAGUACAUGAAAUCUGAUCUAUGCUUUGGUAUCAUGGAGGCCUCUGCUUUGGAUAUGGCUGGAUGCGUGGCUUGUGCACUGAAGUUUUUUUUUUGGAGUGAUGUGGCCCAUCUUCCCGGAAAUUACUGUAAGUUUUCUAGUUUACUUGUUCUUAAUUCUCAUUUUCCUUUUAUGGUUAUGCGCAGCACUCAAAGGUAAGUCCUGCUUACAAAUAAUUUCAGGGAAAAUCCUAUAGUAAGUUGGUAUUAACUUCUGUUGUAAGUUUUUUAUUUUAGGUGUUAAUUUGUUAGCAUGGAGAUUUUUUGAAUGGGUAUAUAUGCAAAAAUGCAACCCCUGGAUAGGAAGUUCAUCUUGAAUAUGCUAAUUAAUAUUUAUUUCUCCAUUUCUAAUACCUUUAGUUUUAAGUUGUUGCUUGGCCUGCCUUGAUUUGAAGUCUCAGAUGUACUCUUGAUUUUCAUAUCUACGCUUUCAAUCUUUUUGCAAGUGUGUUUAAUUGUAGAGGAAAAUAGGUCAUAUUACUCAAAGCAGAGCACAUUAAGCUGUUCACAGUUGUGUACAUUAUUGAAAAGUACACUGAUAUCCUGUGAAAGAUGGUAUAUCUCGGACUCUCAAACAAUUUUAUUUAUAUUGAAGAUUCAAAAUAUCCAUAACCUAGGCUGUGAGAUAGCAUUUUUGUCUUUUGUAACAAGCAAUGCCAUGUGUUGAAUGUGAAACUUGGUUACUGCAUUGCAUGAAUUGGUUAUGUUCCCUGUUAGUGUUUCAAGGAGCAGCACAUUUUUGAAGUUUAUCAUCUUUUGGAUUUUAUAAUUUUCCAUUAGAUAUGUCAAUUCAUGUCUGGCCUGAUAAUAUCUUUGUUAUUAGUUGAUAGUAGUGUUACCUGCCUGUGUAAGGGAAAAUUGCAUACAUACAUUUUCGUCAGAUAUGCUACCUGAGAUUGCUUGACCUUGGUUUACUUGGAAAAAAGUUGUCGGUUUCAUUCAUCUUCUUUGCAUUUCACUUCCCAUCUUGAUUUCAUUGGUUUUCAAUAUGAACUUUAUGUUUUUUUAUUUGAAUUAUUUUUUUUAUUCUUAUCUUUUGAAACUCCAUAAUUUUUUUAAUAUAUUUUUUAUCUUUACAAAUUGUUUGUUCAUCUUUCAAAUCUUUUUAAGGGUCCGUCAGUACAACAUGGUUGAGUUAUAACACAACUGCUUAUACUGUGCUAUCUUUGAUGUUUAAUAAAUGACAUAAAAUUUUGUGCUGUAUGUCGUUCAAUUUUUGUAAGUAAUGGACAAAAAAUUGCAAAAUUAUUGUGAUAUCCUUGGUAUUCUUCUAUAUUUAUUUUACCAUAAAUAAAUUCAAAGGAUAAUGUUUUAUGAAUUUUUCUCGCCUUUGCAAUAUUCACUACUUAACUUUUUUACGAUUAAAAAAUUAUUACUUCAUAAUUAGUUUUUUUGUAAUUUUCAUAAUAUAUUGAUUACUAGUUAAUUACCAAAAAUAUUAAAAGUAAGAAAUUAGAUUUCCAAAAAUAAUUCACUAUAUUUAUUUAUUCUUAAGUUAAAGCAACAAAUAUUAGUUCAUGAUUCAUUAAUAAUUUAUUAGUUGAGCACAUAGAGAAACAUUUAAUUAAAGGUAAAUUUACCUAUUGGUUGUUGUACUACUGUAAAAUUUUGUGCGAUGAUUUUGGAGUAAAAAAUUUUUCAUCAAGUUGUAUUGAGUACUCGGUCGCCUUUUUGUGUUGUUUUCUUAGUCUAUUUGCAAAUCGGGGAUAAAAAUAAAUUAUGUUGUGGUGUACUUCAAAUUUCAUGUGUUAAAUUGACUCUAGCAGUGAUUAUCAUGAUUUUUAAAAAUAUAUUUUAUUUUAAUUUAAACUUUAAUAUGAUUUAAAUCCCUUAUUCUAAGUUAUAUUUCUCUAAAAAUAACUUAAUAUAUGGCUAUGUACACACACCUAAAAAUUUGUUUGUUAAAAUGUUUUCUACUUUUUUUAAAGACAAUGUGGCCCACGUGUCUAUAUAUAUAGAUAUGCACAUUUAACAUUUAUAUAUUUAUUUACGUGUCUACAUAUCUCUGAUACUUGGACACUUAACACGCAUAUCUAGAUCCUACUAACAUUGGUUGGGGCCUGCUGUGGUUUGAACUGUACUGGUUCACUAUAUAGCAAGAAUUAAUUUAGACUAUGAUACUUCUCUUUUGCCUGAUGUUUGUUUUGUGUUUGAAAUAUUCCAAGUUGAAUACUGACAUUUGGUUUAAGCCACGUUUUUUUGGAAGUCCUAUGGUUAAUCAUCAGGGUGUGGUUGAUUUUGGUUGUUAGGGAUUAAUCCCUGAAUAUGUUCUGAUUUGAUGUCAUAUUUGAUGUCAUAAAAUUAAAAUAUCAAAUACACUUCAUUCCCCUUGUGUGAAAAUUGUGAGAAUCUGUUUGGGUAGUAAAAGACUGAAGAAAUUGCUGAGGUCUUCAAGUUCUCUUUUUUAGUCUUUAUGAAUCUUCUUUUGCCUUGAGAAGUUGACAAGCUAUGUUUAAUCGACAAGAAGCAAAUCAAAUUUACUGCUAUUCUAUGGUUUGGGACUGGAUAAUUGAAUUUACUUUAUAGAAAUAAUCAACCUGUAAAAUUUAACUAGAACAGACAAAUCAAAAAUGUAGGAUGAGAGUAAGGUUAUAAAUUUUGGGCUUAUCUGAAUCUAGUUAAGGUUGAUUGAAUUUAGACUGAAAAGGUUUAAUUUAACUAGCCAACUGUUUCGUUAGAGAAAAGGCCUUUCUUCUUUGUAUAUUUACUUGUUCUUUGCUUAAUUGUGGCCACCUUAACUAUGAGAGGAAGUUUUCAUAUCCUAUUCGUAUAAUCAUGUGAAUGUCUUGUGAUUGAAGGACAUGCUUAUACAUGUAAUUUGAGGGAAUUUUUCUUUGCGCAAUGCUGAGACCUCUCAUUUGUAGCUGUUUCUUGAUUUUAGUUCAAAAUAUUUUUGUUUGGAAGCUUAUGUGUGCAUUAAAUUAUCACCUCUGUUCCAACAAACACACUUAUUGAAACAUGGGUUGGGUGAAAACCUUUAAGCCUUCUGCAACUCUAGGCUGUUGAUUUUUUGUAAAUUUUCGCCACACUAAUAAGAAAGGACAGCUAUAUAUGUUGGCAAAUCGAUGAUGGUUGACUGGUGUUUCACCUUGAGUUCUAGAUUUUUAUGAUCUAAUUUGAUACUAGUUUUCAAAUAUUACUAAAUUGACUAUUUAUUUUGAAGUUAUAACUAAUAUGUGUUAGAAAAGAGAAAUUGAGUUCAGAGGAGAGAAUUGCUUUAUGCUGGAAGCUUGUGCAUGGUUUCAAUAAGUGCACAAAUAACUGUUGAAUCACACAUGAUAAAUCGAACAUGUUACUAUUGAUUGUCUAUUUUCAAAAUAGAAUUUUAUAUUGUUUGGUCAACUAUUUUCCUCUUUAUUUAUUUGUUAACAUAUACUUUGUGGUUCAAUCAUGUUGUAUGUGGUGUUUGAGCAGUUAAACCUUCAUUGUGGUGAGGGGUUUCUGAGUUCUAUCCAACAAUUCGGGGUGCUGUGAUUGAAUGUUUCCCUGCAUAUGUUAAUGAGCCAUAUCAAGUUUUAUAUGUAGGCACAGCUUCUAAGAUUUACAGCUGCUUCAUGAAAACAAAUUACGUCUAGAAAAUUACAGUGAGAUGGAAAUAAUUUUUCUUUGAGUUGAGAUAGACUAUAAACUUUUAGAAGUAAGGUCACUCACAUCACAGAAGGUCUGAAGGUGAGCAUGAACUCAUAACAAAUGGAAUGAAUCUGCUUGACAUUUUACCACUCCAAUACAUGACCAAUGGUGCUGAUUUGAAAUAUUGGAUUAACUAUUGUGAUGGACUGACUAAAUGCAUUAGCAUCCUGCUUGCAAGGACUAUGCUGGUGAAAUUUUUCCCCAGGUAUCACAGAAUUACGUUAUUUAUUUAUUUAUUUAUUUUUGUGUGAAGGAGCACUUGCUUUUUAUACUAACCAAGAGUUCUUGUGUAGGCCCUGUAGGGUGGUUUUGUGAUCUGUUCAUGUAGUUUACACAGUUCAUAUGACAACAUGGCUGCUUAUUAACACUUAAUUUAUCGGUUAUGAUGUUCCAUUUAACUGACAAAAUUUGUUUAUAUGGGGAAUAUAGUGCAUUAAGUGGAGACUGAAUUUUUCCUUUUGAGGACAGUGAGAUACUUGAAAAUUUGGGUAUUUUUUACCAUAAAUUUUAUUGUGGAUCCUUGAAAUAGUUGUGGGUUGUGGCUGAGGACUUUCUGACUAUUCACAUUGUAUGUUGGAAAAAGUUGACUGGUUUUUUUCUCUUCCUAAUUAUAUCCUUGCUUCUGCUCAUAAUUGCUUGUACUUGGGAAUUGGUUUAUUUUGA